GGCGGGCAGCGGCAGGGCCUGCUGCUGGCGCUUGAGAUGCGCCUUGAGUGGCCGCAGCGGGCUGGGAUCAUCCGCCCAGUGCUGGUCA
rnacentral:tRNA from 1 species